CCUGCUGACCCACUCUUCCUAUCUUCUGUGGGGAACUGCAGGAUGGGCACAGAGGGUACCUGCACACCCUCAGACCAGUCAGCCACC